GGGGGUGAACUGGAUUCGACGGGGAUAUAGACCAGAAACUGCAUACCGAGAAUGUCGGGAACCUCGUAAAAUUUCCGGCAAAUUUCAAACGCGAACACUUUAGUAGCGUAACCCGCCUUAGGCGGGUAUGUCCUUCCGGUUUCGCCCGCAGGUCCGGAAAGGGCACAAGAUAUGCGGGAUAGUUCUGCUUUAUGCCUGUGAAAGCGGGGCGAAAACAAAUACAGGUUGGUCUCGUUCUUAUCCCGUCCGCAGGAGUGAGCGGGACGAGAUUAAAUGCGGAAUAAGUAUGUAGACGUUUCUGUUGAGAUAUUUUCGGACGGGGGUUCGAUUCCCCCCACCUCCAUAA
rnacentral:tmRNA from 2 species